AGCUCCAAUAGCGUAUAUUAAAGUUGUUGCAGUUAAAACGCUCGUAGUCGGAUUUCGGGGCGGUCGUGCCGGUCUGCCGAUGGGUAUGCACUGGCUGCGGCUGUCCUUUCAUCUGGAGACCGCGCGUGCUCUUAGCUGAGUGCGCGCGGGAGACGGAUCGUUUACUUUGAAAAAUCAGAGUGUUUCAAGCAGGCAGCUCGCUCUUGCAUGGAUUAGCAUGGGAUAAUGAAAUAGGACUCUGGUGCUAUUUUGUUGGUUUCGAACACCG
rnacentral:rRNA from 1 species